UACAGAGGGUGCGAGCGUUGUUCGGAAUUACUGGGCGUAAAGCGCGCGCAGGCGGCCUUUUAAGUCUGACGGUGAAAUGCCGGGGCUCAACCCCGUGCCCGCCGGAGAUACUGGGAGGCUGGAGACGAGUAGAGGCAAGCGGAAUUCCGGGUGUAGCGGUGGAAUGCGUAGAGAUCCGGAAGAACACCGGAGGCGAAGGCGGCUUGCUGGGCUCGGUCUGACGCUGAGGCGCGAAAGCGUGGGGAGCGAAUAGG
rnacentral:rRNA from 1 species